rnacentral:rRNA from 1 species
UAGGGAAUAUUGCAAAAUGGGCGAAAGCCCGAUGCAGCAACGCCGCGUGGGCGAUGAAGGCCUUCGGGUCGUAAAGCCCUUUUUGAGGGGAUGAGGAAGGACAGUACCCUCAGAAUAAGCCUCGGCUAACUACGUGCCAGCAGCCGCGGUAAAACGUAGGAGGCGAGCGUUAUCCGGAUUUACUGGGCGUAAAGCGCGUGCAGGCGGAUUGGAGAGUUGGAUGUGAAAGCUCCCGGCUUAACUGGGAGAGGUCGUUCAAUACUUCCAGUCUUUAGUGCAUUAGAGGGAAGUGGAAUUCCGAGUGUAGUGGUGAAAUCCGUAGAUAUCCGGAGGAACACCAGUGGCGAAAGCGGCUUCCUGGACUGUAACUGACGCUCAGACGCGAAAGCUAGGGUAGCAAACG